AUUUCAUUAUAUUUUAUUUCCUACAAAAACUUAAUAUAUUUUAUUCUUUUAUAUACAAUAUUAUUUACAGCAAUUGUACAUAAAAUACUCAUUAAUAAUAAACUAUAAAACAACAGAUAUACUGCAUAGAAAUUCAUGUAAUGACCAGAUAUCUAGAUGUAAUACGGUUUUAAUGUAAUGUAAGAUUUUUAAAAUCUGACAUUAAUUAUAAAUAUUAGUACAAAGUGCAGGUAUACAUUCAUAGGUUAUUCAACAAUUCAAAACUGACAACUGGUGUAAAAAACUGUAUCUGGAUGAGGCUAGACAUUUGGAGUGUUGCUACAUGUAUGAUAUCUUCACAUUUUCCACACACACACACACUGAUCAUUGGUAUUAAAAUUGUGCUUAUGACGUUAUGUGUAUGUCAGACAGUAUAAAAAUGAUUUUUCUUAUUUGUAAACUUUAACCAAAGUCUUCUUACCCCUUAUAGUAACAGUGCAGAACAGUUGCUCUGUGUACAUUUAUUGAGAGUUCUCUAGCAUUUUUUUUAACAGACUGUAGAGUUCCAUACUACUUACAUGUAUCCCUAUUUUUCUAGGGGAUACAUUUUUGUUAUCAAAAUCAUGUUAAAUAAACUUUUUACAAACAUUUAGUUCCUCAUGAAGUCAUUGUAGUUAAGUGCCAGUCUGUCUAAGAAUCAGGCAGUGGUGAAAACAUGACCAAAAAAAACCACCCUAUUUGACAUUGAUUUCAGUU
rnacentral:lncRNA from 1 species